rnacentral:rRNA from 1 species
ACGAACGCUGGCGGCGUGCCUAACACAUGCAAGUCGAGCGAGGUCCAUCCAGUGGUAACACUGGUGAAGACCUAGCGGCGAACGGGUGAGUAACACGUGAGAAACCUGCCCCGAAGACUGGGAUAACUCUCCGAAAGGAGAGCUAAUACCAGAUGCCCUCACCGGGCCGCAUGACUUGGUGAGGAAAUGGAUUCCGCUUCGGGAGGGUCUCGCGGCCUAUCAGCUUGUUGGUGAGGUAACGGCUCACCAAGGCUUCGACGGGUAGCUGGUCUGAGAGGAUGAUCAGCCACACUGGGACUGAGACACGGCCCAGACUCCUACGGGAGGCAGCAGUGGGGAAUCUUGCGCAAUGGGCGAAAGCCUGACGCAGCAACGCCGCGUGGGGGAUGAAGGCUCUCGGGUUGUAAACCCCUUUCAGCAGGGAAGAUUAUGACGGUACCUGCAGAAGAAGCCCCGGCCAACUACGU